CACGUAGGGCGCAAGCGUUGUCCGGAAUUAUUGGGCGUAAAGAGCUCGUAGGCGGUCUGUUGCGUCCGCUGUGAAAACUCGGGGCUUAACCCCGAGCCUGCAGUGGAUACGGGCAGACUAGAGGUAGGUAGGGGAGAAUGGAAUUCCCGGUGUAGCGGUGAAAUGCGCAGAUAUCGGGAGGAAUACCAGUGGCGAAGGCGAUCAUCUGGGGUUGUUCUGACACUGAGGAGCGAAAGCUAGGGGAGCAAACGGG
rnacentral:rRNA from 1 species